rnacentral:rRNA from 1 species
AACCAGGAUGUUGGCUCAGAAGCAGCCAUGCAUUCAAAGAGUGCGUAAUAGCUCACUGGUCGAGAGGUCCUGCGCCGAAAAUGUCCGGGGCUGAAACACGACACCGAAGCUGAGGAAUCUUUUUAAGAUUGGUAGAGGAGCAUUGCAUAAGGGAAGAAGCAGUACCGGAAGGAGCUGUGGACUUUAUGGAAGAGAGAAUGCCGGAAUGAGUAGCGAGAAUGAGGUGGGAAUCCUCAUGGCCGAAUAUCCAAGGUUUCCAGGGUAAAGCUGAUCUGCCCUGGGUAAGUCGGGGCCUAAGGCGAGGUCGAAAGACGUAGUCGAUGGACAACAGGUUGAGAUUCCUGUACUGCAGUAUGACAGAACUGUGGGGACACGUGUGGAGAGCAUAGCCGCGGAAUGGAAAGCCGCGGGCAAGCGAGGUAGGAGAUGUGUAGGAAAAACCGCAUAUCAAUCCGAAGGCGUGAUGCGGAGCGAACUGAAGUAGCGAAGUAUGUGAGCCAUGCGUCGAGAAAAGCCGCUAUUGUUCAUACUGUACCCGUACCGUAAACCGA